GACGAACGCUGGCGGCGUGCCUAAUACAUGCAAGUUGAGCGAUGAAGAUUGGUGCUUGCACCAAUUUGAAGAGCAGCGAACGGGUGAGUAACGCGUGGGGAAUCUGCCUUUGAGCGGGGGACAACAUUUGGAAACGAAUGCUAAUACCGCAUAACAACUUUAAACAUAAGUUUUAAGUUUGAAAGAUGCAAUUGCAUCACUAAAAGAUGAUCCCGCGUUGUAUUAGCUAGUUGGUGAGGUAAAGGCUCACCAAGGCGAUGAUACAUAGCCGACCUGAGAGGGUGAUCGGCCACAUUGGGACUGAGACACGGCCCAAACUCCUACGGGAGGCAGCAGUAGGGAAUCUUCGGCAAUGGACGAAAGUCUGACCGAGCAACGCCGCGUGAGUGAAGAAGGUUUUCGGAUCGUAAAACUCUGUUGGUAGAGAAGAACGUUGGUGAGAGUGGAAAGCUCAUCAAGUGACGGUAACUACCCAGAAAGGGACGGCUAACUACGUG
rnacentral:rRNA from 1 species